rnacentral:tRNA from 1 species
AAUUAAAUGGCUGAAUAUAGGCGAUAAAUUGUAAAUUUAUUUAUGAAAUAUUUAAAUUUCUUUAAUUA